GUCGAGUUCCAGUCCAAGGUCCAGGAGUUGUAGUCAUCAAUUCAAGGUCCACAAAACGGAAUGGCACAAAGAGCCAAGGCAACGGAGGCAACAGCAGCUAAUGCAAAAUAGUAAUAACAGUGCAGUCCAGGAAAACCCACACAGUUCCAGCCCUCCGUUGCAGAACAACCCAGAUUAACUUACAUCUGAAGCAAAGUCGCAGCCCAGUCUUCAAUAACACGUACAGGAGUGCCAGUGGCGCCCAGCAGCACCUUGCUGCACGCAAAGUGAAGUGACCAAACAUUCCCAAUUUAUCUCAAUUCUCCCUGGGUGUCCAAACACCAACGCCCAAAGAGCAGGUGUUCCAAAUCCUCCAAUGAGCCCUCCUCGCGAGGGUUUUUCCUUCCUCUCCUGAUCCCACCACUAUCAUCCACAGUCCCCAAAGGUGCAGUCACAACAAAUGGUAAAAUGAAAAAAACCUAAAACUCAAAGAUUUAGUUUUGAAAACUUUAUUAAAGCAAUGGUAAAGUUAAAAAAACGCCUCAAAGUCAAAGAUUUAAUUUUGAAAACUUUAUUAAAGCAAUGGUAAAGUGAAAAAACCCAAAGUCAAAGAUUUAUUUUUCAAAACUUUAUUAAAGCAAUGGUAAAGUGAAAAAACUCAAAGUCAGAUAUUUAUUUUUCAAAGCUUUAUUUCUUAAAGCAUCAAGUCCUGGGUGUGGGCUUCGUAAUUCAAAGGGCCGGUCAUUGUCAUCGAGGAUCCUCUGCGGGAUAUAACUGUAAUAAAGAAAGAAAGAAAGAAAGAAAGAAAGAAAGAAAGAAAGAAAGAAAUCAAUAAAUGGAGGCUCAAAGAUCUCCCCCCACACCAUUUUUCUGCUUUUUAAUUUUACAAAACAAUUUCUUACAUCAUCACGUCCUGGGUGGCGGCUUUGGAAGGAAAAAUGGCCAGUUUGUUUUGUUGAACGUUGCAGAGCUGGUCCCGGGAGCAGCGGCGUUGGCUUCCUCUUUUAUGGGAGGCAGAAAGUAGGGCUGACGAUGUUGAUCGAUUGGUUGGCGGCUCUCCUUAUUUCCCGUCAGGAAGGGAUCCCCUGGAACGCAGGGGGGCCGGAUCCAGUCCGACCCCGUGUAGAUCAGGCGGAUCCCUUCCUUCUUCUCCAGGAGAGCCGCCGCUGCCAGCUCCCUUUCUUGACGUACUUUUUUUUCUUGCUGCCGCCGCUCCAGGGACUCCUAAUAUAAAAUAAAAAAGAAACAUUAUUAAUAUACCACUCUAUCUCCCAGGGCCCCCCUAUAUACAACAAACAAUAACUUAACAUAGCAAAAUAAACUAAAUAAUAUAAAAAAAAUAAACAAACCUUUUCCUGCCUUUCCUUC
rnacentral:lncRNA from 1 species